rnacentral:tRNA from 1 species
GGGUUCAGUUCAGCUGGUUAGAUGCACACGCUUGAUAAGCGUGGUCACAAGUUCAAGCUCCUUGGGUCGUGACCCACCA